rnacentral:rRNA from 1 species
AUUGAACGCUGGCGGCAGGCCUAACACAUGCAAGUCGAGCGGUAGCACAGGGGAGCUUGCUCCCUGGGUGACGAGCGGCGGACGGGUGAGUAAUGUCUGGGAAACUGCCUGAUGGAGGGGGAUAACUACUGGAAACGGUAGCUAAUACCGCAUAACGUCGCAAGGCCAAAGAGGGGGACCUUCGGGCCUCUUGCCAUCAGAUGUGCCCAGAUGGGAUUAGCUAGUAGGUGGGGUAAUGGCUCACCUAGGCGACGAUCCCUAGCUGGUCUGAGAGGAUGACCAGCCACACUGGAACUGAGACACGGUCCAGACUCCUACGGGAGGCAGCAGUGGGGAAUAUUGCACAAUGGGCGCAAGCCUGAUGCAGCCAUGCCGCGUGUGUGAAGAAGGCCUUCGGGUUGUAAAGCACUUUCAGCGAGGAGGAAGGUGGUGAGCUUAAUACGUUCAUCAAUUGACGUUACUCGCAGAAGAAGCACCGGCUAACUCCGUG